rnacentral:sRNA from 1 species
GACUCAACGAUCUGCAGGUGUUGAGAGA